GAUGAAGAACGUAGCGAAAUGCGAUAAGUAAUGUGAAUUGCAGAAUUCAGUGAAUCAUCGAGUCUUUGAACGCACAUUGCGCCCCCUGGUAUUCCGGGGGGCAUGCCUGUCCGAGCGUCAUUGCCGCCCUCAAGCACGGCUUGUGUGUUGGGCCCCCGCCCCCCGGCUUCGGGGGGCGGGCCCGAAAGGCAGCGGCGGCACCGCGUCCGGUCCUCGAGCGUAUGGGGCUUCGUCACCCGCUCUGUAGGCCCGGCCGGCGCCCGCCGGCGACCCCAAUCAAUCUUUCCAGGUUGACCUUGGAUCAGGUAGGGAUACCCGCUGAACUUAAGCAUAUCAAUAAGCGGAGGA
rnacentral:misc_RNA from 1 species